GUGCUCACUUUGGCGGCACACAUCCUAGAAUUGGAGUGAUACAGAGAUUAGCAUGACCCCUGUGCAAGGAUGACAUGCAGAUUCGUGAAGUGUUCCAUAUUAAA